rnacentral:piRNA from 1 species
UGGUCAGAUAGAAAAAGCACUGGG